GCUGGGUUCUGUCUGUACUUCAGAGAAGCGGUUGGUUGGUGGGAGCGCAGUUGGACUCUUUGUUUCCAUACACUUGACCUUUUCCCUGACCUGUUGGAUCAGGACGUAGUUUUUCCAAUCUGUCAGUCAAGGAUAUUGCCUGAUAAUAGGAUCAUUUGAAAUGUGGAUUUCAGGAAGCAGAGUUGAUGCCCAAGUAGCCAAAUCUGCAGCUUCUGUUGGAUAUGUUCAGACAAACCUCAUCUUCACCAUAUGUGCAUCCUUUCUCAUCUA